UACGUAGGGUGCAAGCGUUGUCCGGAAUUAUUGGGCGUAAAGAGCUCGUAGGCGGUUUGUCGCGUCGAAUGUGAAAUCCCGGGGCUCAACCCCGGGCCUGCAUUCGAUACGGGCAGACUAGAGUUCGGUAGGGGAGUCUGGAAUUCCUGGUGUAGCGGUGAAAUGCGCAGAUAUCAGGAGGAACACCGGUGGUGAAGGCGGGACUCUGGGCCGAUACUGACGCUGAGGAGCGAAAGCGUGGGGAGCAAACAGG
rnacentral:rRNA from 1 species